CAGGGACUUGAUUUUGCCUAAAGUAACAGCAAUAACUUGUUUCUGAGAGUCUGGCUCUUGCUGCUUCAGGAUUUCAGCCCUUCAGGACUGGAGUGCUGCAGAUUUGAUGAAGUGUGGGGUGUGUAGACAAGCUGGGAAGCAGCUCCUGCAGCCAAACACAGGCGUGGGGGGAUCAGAAGUGGAGGAGAACCACCUUGUUCUGGCUCAGAGCGAGCAAUGAGGCAAGGAGAGAAUGAGGAGCUCUAGCUGAAGUAAAAAUCACCAGGAUUAAAAAAAACCCCAAACCAAUAACAACAGAACAAAAUUCCACAGUAAAAGGUAUGCUGGAGGAAAACAUAGGAGAGGCAGUGUAAAUUUAACAUUCUCUGUCCCAUCAGAGCUGUGCUCUAAGUUAAGUGGAAAAUAAGGAGUAAAUCAGUGUGCUGUGGGAAAGAUGGAGAACAGGAUUGGGGGAUGCAGAACAGAAGGGUGAUGGGCGGGGCAGGAAAACCAAGCGAGGUCAGUGGUGGAAGCUGAAUGAUGAGGAGGAAGAAGAGGGAGUCAUCACCAGGCUGGAAAUUGUGUUUAGGCUUGGCUUUUCUCCAGGCACUGGCACUUGGAGUAGAUCUUUGGUGUCUAGGCUCCAGAGGAGGAUUCUGCUGGCUCUCUUCCUAACUCUUUCCUCCUCUUCUUUAGGCUGUGGAGUGGCAGGAUUGGAGUGGAAAGCUGAAGCACCUCUUUUACUUUCACCAGCUCCCUGUGACUAGCGAGGGAAAUUAGCUGGAGUGUUGUGAUGGCUGUUUCCUGCUUGAGCACAUAAAAAAUGGAAUCAUUCCUGACAAACAAGGAGUUCAGCUAAAGAUGAGGUGGAGCCACAGGUACGGCGUCAAUCAAAACCUGAAGGCAGAACUCACACUCCAUGGCAACUUCCAGGGCACAGCUCUCUCCUCUCGUUUCCUGCUUCCAAACUGCUCCAGCAGCGCAGGGAGGGAAGGCAGCUGGGCUGGUUGUAACCCACGUUUAAAGGAUUUGGGACCAAAUCCUCCCCCGCGGCGGGAGCAGAAAUGGGGAGCACAGGGGAGGGCAGACACUCACCUGGCUGCCACAGCCGUGCCCUGCCCCAACUACCAGCAGCAGAUCUCUGCCUUGGCAAAUAUUGCCCUGCCUUGGCUGCCUUCUGGCCCUGAAGUCCUUCCACCCUUCUACAGGUCCCUCGGCACUCAAAAAUAAUUUGGGAGGUUAUUU
rnacentral:lncRNA from 12 species